AGCACACCAUGUUUUACAAAAGUCUAAGAUAGUCUCCAUGGCAGAAAUACUUAUUACUUUGUAACCUAAUAGUUAUUUGUGUUGCCUUUUAGUGAGGAAAUGCGGGGAGGGUAAAACUGAAUCUGUUCAGGUUUAAACAUUCACUGAUACUUUUUUUUUUUUCAGUAUUGUACAAGCUUAGCUGGGGAAAAUAUGUACAUUCGUUUUGAAGCCAUAAUCUUACUUUCAGUUGGUAUGCCGGUCCAUUGUGUAAAUACGAAUUUUUAAGCAAUUUAGCAUUUCAUCGAAGUAACAGGGCACUUGAUUUUCUUUCAUCCAUAUGAAAACAGUUAGGAAAAAGUGCCACUUAUCUUAAAUAGUAUUUGUCAGAUUUUCUUCAUCAAACUUGGUAAAUACAGAUC